rnacentral:rRNA from 1 species
GAUGAACGCUGGCGGCGUGCCUAAUACAUGCAAGUAGAACGCUGAAGGAGGAGCUUGCUCUUCUGGAUGAGUUGCGAACGGGUGAGUAACGCGUAGGUAACCUGCCUGGUAGCGGGGGAUAACUAUUGGAAACGAUAGCUAAUACCGCAUGACAACAGUUAUUGCAUGAUAACUGUUUAAAAGGGGCAACUGCUCCACUACCAGAUGGACCUGCGUUGUAUUAGCUAGUUGGUGAGGUAACGGCUCACCAAGGCGACGAUACAUAGCCGACCUGAGAGGGGGAUCGGCCAAACUGGGACUGAGACACGGCCCAGACUUCUACGGGAGGCAGCAGUAGGGAAUCUUCGGCAAUGGACGGAAGUCUGACCGGGCAACGCCGCGUGAGUGAAGAAGGUUUUCGGAUCGUAAAGAUCUGUUGUAAGAGAAGAACGAGUGUGAGAGUGGAAAGUUCACACUGUGACGGUAUCUUACCAGAAAGGGACGGCUAACUACGUG